AGUGAACGCUGGCGGUGGGCCCAACACAUGCAAGUCGAACGGCAGCACAGUAAGAGCUUGCUCUUACGGGUGGCGAGUGGCGGACGGGUGAGGAAUACAUCGGAAUCUACUUUUUCGUGGGGGAUAACGUAGGGAAACUUACGCUAAUACCGCAUACGACCUACGGGUGAAAGCAGGGGAUCUUCGGACCUUGCGCGAUUGAAUGAGCCGAUGUCGGAUUAGCUAGUUGGCGGGGUAAAGGCCCACCAAGGCGACGAUCCGUAGCUGGUCUGAGAGGAUGAUCAGCCACACUGGAACUGAGACACGGUCCAGACUCCUACGGGAGGCAGCAGUGGGGAAUAUUGGACAAUGGGCGCAAGCCUGAUCCAGCCAUACCGCGUGGGUGAAGAAGACCUUCGGGUUGUAAAGCCCUUUUGUUGGGAAAGAAAAGCAGCAGGUUAAUACCCCGCUGUUCUGACGGUACCCAAAGAAUAAGCACCGGCUAACUUCGUG
rnacentral:rRNA from 1 species